ensembl:lncRNA
GGGUUUGAUCCCUGGUCAGGAAAAUAAGGUCCCACGUGCCUCUCGGCCACAAAACCGAAACAUAAAGCAGAAGCAAUAUUGUAACAAAUUCAACAAGUCUUUUAAAAUGGUCCACGCCAAGAAAAGGAAAUCUUAAACACAACCCAUGGGAAAGCAAUGGCCCCUUAGGGCGUCCAGAGCGACUGCCCUGCCUGGCCCGGGUCACCUGCCCUGCACGUCACUGUAGCGGCAGCAGGGGGCAGGGCUGCACCGCCUGCUGGAGCUCGCGCUCAGGCCACCCAUGGCUGCUGGAAGCCCAUCAAAACCGCGGAAGGUUCCCUGCGGUCUCCUUGGGCAUCCCCACCCCUCCUCAGAGCCUUCACUGGCAUCAAGACCUAUGAAUCAAGGAGAGAGGAAGUGGGUCAGACAAGCACGGCUGCGUGGGUGUGUACAGCAGGUAAAUGCCUGGGAGAGGAAUGGCUGAGUCAAAUGGUAGUUGCAUGUUUAAAUAUGCUUAGGUAACCACCAGACCGUUGUCCAAAGUGGUCGUAACAUUUUAUAUUCCCAACAGCAGUGUAUAAGCAUUCUAGGUGCUCCAUUUUCUUGCUAACACUUGUUGUGGCCAGUCUUUUUAUUAUGCUUUACUCUUGAGAGUCCCUUGGACUGCAAGGACAUCCAGCCAGUCCAUCCUAAAGGAGAUCAGUCCUGGGUGUUCAUUGGAAGGACUGAUGUUGAAGCUGAAACUCCAAUACUUUGGCCACCUGAUGCGAAGAGCUGACUCACUUGAGAAGACCCUGAUGCUGGGAAAGAUUGAGGGCAGGAGGAGAAGGGGACGACAGAGGAUGAGAUGGUUGGAUGGCGUCACCGACUCGAUGAACGUGGCUUCAUGUGGACUUCGGGAGUUGGUGAUGGACAGGGAGGCCUGGUGUGCUGUGGUUCAUAGGGUCACAAAGAGUCAGACACGACUGAACUGAACUGAACUGAAUAAGUAAUGAUAUUUAGCAUCUUUAUGUGUUUACUGGCAUCCAUGAGUCUUCUGUAAAGUACUAUUUGAAAUCUUUUGCUCAUUUUUUU